rnacentral:precursor_RNA from 1 species
GGUGAGCUCUCGCUGGCCAUGGCCCAGUGCAGGCAGAGGAAGCCAGAGAUGGGUUAGGCGGCCUGUAAAAGAGAUUACGAU